GGGGCACUUUUCCCAUGUUUUUUAUGCCUCCCAAGGCCUUGCCUUUUGUAGCAUUUUUAAUCAAACAUUGUGCUUACUCCCCUUGUCAGACAGGAUAGAGCAAAGAGACCAGUGCUCAGGUUACGACCUGGAAGAUAAGAGUUCCAACCCACCUUCAACCAUGGAAAGUUACAGAAUCUUGGGAACACAGAGAAAGCAGCAAGACAAUCAAGGGAGGAAAUGGCCAUUACAGAAGAGACUCUUGAGUCAUGAAGCAUGAGAAAAAACUCAGAGUAACUCUGCCUCAAUUACACUAGGCAUAAGUUGUGCAGGAAAAUUACUUUGGUAGGCUUUCAAGAGUGUUACAUUACCCUAUGAGGAAUAAACAACCCACUUCCAGAAAUCCAAGUGGGUCUUGUUUCCGCCAGUCCUGCAGCACUUGACUCUGCUUCUUUUCUUGUAAUAUUCCACUUUCCAGGCAUCCCUUCAUUCUGAUAUCUGAGUAAAAUCUAUACUUUUAUUGGCAACAGCUGAGCUUUGUGUCAUAACUACUUUCUACACAAUAGAAUUACUUGCACUAAAUGGAGGGAAGGAUUCUAUUUUCCCAGGGGUAAAAAAUAAAGGUUUGAGUGCUGAGAUGAUACAAUAUCCUGAAGACAGAAGCCCAUCCUCAAGGGAAAUUGGGAGAAUGGUGGCCAUCAAAUGAGAAAUGGAUAUGCUGGUUUGUAUUCUAAGUGGUAAUACUCCAAGCCCUGAAAUAUUUGUGUUAGCGCAGCUGCAGCUGCAACUGUGUUCUUAAUAAAGUGUAAACAGCAACGGGUUAAAGCUCAAUUAAAAUGUAAAAGAAGUUUGUCUCUGGGAUGUUCUUGAUAAUGCCAUUUGGAUGAUACAUUGCAACAAUCUUCUGUCACAGCAACUGUUUUGAUAGCAUAUAGUAUUAGGACAAUAAAUCAUCACUAUAGCA